AUUGAACGCUGGCGGCAGGCCUAACACAUGCAAGUCGAGCGGAGCGGCGGACGGGCGAGUAAUGCCUGGGAAUCUGCCUGGCUGUUGGGGAUAACGUACGGAAACGGGCGCUAAUACCGCAUACUAUCAGAUGAGCCUAGGUCGGAGUAGCUAGGUGGUGGGGUAAGGGCCUACCAAGGCGACGAUCCGUACCUGGUCUGAGAGGAUGAUCAGUCACACUGGAACUGAGACACGGUCCAGACUCCGACGGUAGGCAGCAGUGGGGAAUAUUGGACAAUGGGCGAAAGCCUGAUCCAGCCAUGCCGCGUGUGUGAAGAAGGUCUUCGGAUUGUAAAGCACUUUCAGUUGGGAGGCGUUACCAACAGAAUAAGCACCGGCUAACUUCGUGCCAGCAGCCGCGGUAAUUC
rnacentral:rRNA from 1 species